UACAGAGGGGGCAAGCGUUGUUCGGAAUUACUGGGCGUAAAGGGCGCGUAGGCGGCCUGUUAAGUCGAACGUGAAAUCCCCGGGCUCAACCCGGGAACUGCGUCCGAUACUGGCAGGCUUGAAUCCGGGAGAGGGAUGCGGAAUUCCAGGUGUAGCGGUGAAAUGCGUAGAUAUCUGGAGGAACACCGGUGGCGAAGGCGGCAUCCUGGACCGGUAUUGACGCUGAGGCGCGAAAGCCAGGGGAGCAAAACGGGG
rnacentral:rRNA from 1 species